rnacentral:lncRNA from 1 species
AUCUGGAUUUUUAGAUUUCAAAAAUCUGAAUCCAUUAAUCCAUCAGUCCAUUAAUAAUUAACUUGACCAGAUCACAUUGAGUUGGUUUGAUUUGGUUUGAGGUUGUUUUAUGAUUUAGCCCUUGAUGAAGAAUUUAUUAUAUAAUAAUCUUUUUCCAAUUGUUUUGCAAGUAGAGAGGGAGGUGAUGAAGCCGCGGAGAA